UUUUAUUGAGAGUUUGAUCCUGGCUCAGGACGAACGCUGGCGGCGUGCUUAACACAUGCAAGUCGAACGAGAAUCUACUGAAAGAGUUUUCGGACAAUGGAUGUAGAGGAAAGUGGCGGACGGGUGAGUAACGCGUGAGGAACCUGCCUUGAAG
rnacentral:rRNA from 1 species